rnacentral:rRNA from 1 species
UUUGCGGUGGUCAUAGUAGUGGGGAAACGCCCGGAAACAUUCCGAACCCGGAAGCUAAGCCCACAAACGCCAAUGGUACUGCACCCGACAGAGUGUGGGAGAGUAGGACACCGCCGCAACAA